GAGAGAGAGAAUACAUGUAUAUUCGGAUGCUACAGUUUAAGACAACAGAUAUUUGAUGGCAAAGAGACAGACUAGCGAGAUCUCCGCAGGUGUAGCGAGCUACCAUAACCGCUCAAGGGCAUAAACUGGCUUCCUAACAGGAGUUUACUACAAAUCACGAGGACAACAGUCAACGGCGAAAGAAAGUGUGUUUGGGGGGAAGGGAAGAGAGACUAGUGAGCGCCCGGUCCAGGACACCAGGAGAGAAAAACACAGCAUGAGAGAGAGCGCCUCUGGGGUCAUCGAUCACACAAGUUCAACGGCUGCAAUCCUAAACACACCCCGGAUAAGAGUGUGUAACACAACAGGCCUUACUCUGGAGUAAAGACGCAGAGGAUUGCAGCCUUAAGACUGCGAGGAAUUGUUUUUUGCAUUA